AUUGAACGCUGGCGGCAUGCCUUACACAUGCAAGUCGAACGGUAACGGGCCUUCGGGUGCCGACGAGUGGCGAACGGGUGAGUAAUACAUCGGAACGUGCCCGAUCGUGGGGGAUAACGAGGCGAAAGCUUUGCUAAUACCGCAUACGAUCUACGGAUGAAAGCAGGGGACCGCAAGGCCUUGCGCGGACGGAGCGGCCGAUGGCAGAUUAGGUAGUUGGUGGGAUAAAAGCUUACCAAGCCGACGAUCUGUAGCUGGUCUGAGAGGAUGAUCAGCCACACUGGGACUGAGACACGGCCCAGACUCCUACGGGAGGCAGCAGUGGGGAAUUUUGGACAAUGGGCGCAAGCCUGAUCCAGCCAUGCCGCGUGCAGGAUGAAGGCCUUCGGGUUGUAAACUGCUUUUGUACGGAACGAAAAGCCUUCUUUUAAUACAGGAGGGUCAGGAGGGUACCGUAAGAAUAAGCACCGGCAAACUACGU
rnacentral:rRNA from 1 species